AUGAAUGGAGGGCGGCGGCGACUGCUGCAGCUGGGCCAGCUGCGCGGGCUGCACCCCCUCCCAGCCUGCGAGAGGAGGAAGCUAGUAGAAGAUUUGUACCAACAAAACCAAGGAGUAAACAACUUGAGAAUAACUGCAUGAGCUCAGGGCUUGGACUGUCAGAUUCCAUUUCUAAGCUUCCAGAAGAGCGACACAUAGACACUGGGGAAGUCAGAGCCUUUGAACUCCAAUGCCAUCCCCGUCACCCACCUCCACCACCAGCACCACCACCGAAUGGCACUUUGGACAAUUUUUCCCUCUCAUGUGACUUUUGUCAUUUCUUACGUCAGUUGGAGCCAGCACCUCUCAAAUCCAUCUUCUAAAACCCAGAAAAUUGUGUGUAACACAUGAUGACUGAAAGGGAGUAGGCUGACCAGUUAAGAGCCUGCCACUGGAAUGGAAGGCUGUGGGAAGGUGAGGGGACGGUGGACAUCAACCGGGAAGAGCUGAAAGAUGGCGUUACCAGGUAUCUACCCUGCUACCCUGCAUAGAAUUCCCAAGACCCUAAGGAAACUGAGUCUCAGGGAGGUCAAGAGACAUGCCAAAGCACAGCUUGGAAGUGGUCCAUUGGAUUCGAAGGGGUCCUCACACGAAGCAGGAAGUCACCCUGUAUCUCGUGGACUACUACAUGGCCAGUAAAGAAAAGAACAAGGUGGGGCCGUGUGCGGUGGCUCAAGCCUGUAAUCCCAGCCCUUUGGGAGGCCGAGACGGCGGAUCACGAGAUCAGGAGAUGGAGACCAUCUUGGCUAACAUGGUGAAACCCCAUCUCUACUGAAAAUACAAAUUAGCCGGGUGUGGUGGCGGGCGCCUGUAGUCCCAGCUACUCGGGAGGCUGAGGCAGGAGAAGCGUGAACCCAGGAGGCGGAGGUUGCAGUGAGCCAAGAUGACACCACUGCACUCCAGCCUGGGUGACAGAGCGAGACUCCGUCUCAAAAAAAAAAAAAAAAAGAACAAGGUAGAUUAUAACAAUGGCCAACAUACAUAUAGCACUUACUGUGUACACACUAGUCUGAAAGUUCUAUGUAUUUUAGAAUAUCUGCACAUUUAUAAUAUUAACUCAUUUGAUUUUCUCAACAAUUAUCUGGUUACUAUUACUAGAAUUUUUUUAAAUCAGGAAAGAGAUGUUAAGUAACUUGUCUAAAGUCACAUAGCUGGCGAGUCGGGGAGCUGGGCUUCAAGUCAUCUGGCCUCAGGGUCUGGGUCAAUAACCACUACCCAAAUGCCUGUAUGUACAGGCAUGGAAAGAUGCUUUUGACAUAUGAUUAAGUGGAAAAUUCAAGUAGCAGAGAAGUAGGAGCUUAUCUUUUUCAGGUAAAAAGAAGCUGCAUGUGUGCAUGCCUACGUGAAUAUAUUUUAUAUAUUUGUAAUAGUAAAGGUUCUGGAAAAAUACGUGUUCAAUCAGCAAUUCUCAACCAGGAAGGGAGGUGAGAUGGGCUACAUAAAGAGGAUUUUGGCUGGGGGCAGUGGCUCAUGCCUGUAAUCCCAAUACUUUGGUAGGCCGAGGCCUUUUUUGCUGGUAGACGCACACCAUCACAUCCUACAUAAUAUUUAGCUCUGAGGCGUUUCCAGAUGGGAAGUGCGUUUCUGUAUUUUCAUAGCCGUGUUCUCUACGUGAAUGGACUGGCGUGAAGCUGGGGGCUGACGGCUGGCAGGGCAGGACAACUUCCAGUAAAAGAAGGCACUGAGGUUUAAGUGCUACGUGGGAGCAGUUGCCGAUUUUUGCAAUGGGAGGCUGCAUAGAUUCAAGGGUGAGAAUUCGAAGAGAUUCAAAGACUAUAUCACCACCAUGGUCUUGCCAGAAUCUGCCCUCUGAGUCAUUUCUUAAUCUACUGAUUAUCUGUAGAACCAGCCUUAUAUAAACAAGGAAGCAUCUAGCAGGUGAGGACUUCCUUGAGUGCUCCAGGAGCUUGUCAUUCCAGAGACAGAGCAGCCCAGAAGUCCUGGGAUUUACACCUCUAGUAGAAACCCUCAACCAGAGAAGGAUGGAAGUCAAUGGGUGACCCUGCAGCCUGUGAGACCAUCUUGGCCCUUGUCAGGGCAGCCAUUUGCCAUUGCAGAUGAAGGGUGGGGGAGAGGCCAGAGACUCCUUCAGACUGUGUUGGAAAUGUCAUGAAAAUGGAAAUUCUCACAACCUGAGAGUCAUAGACCUGGAUUUGGGUUUCUGCUGUGUCAUUAAGUUCUUGCAAACCAGGCAAGUCAUGUAACCUUUCUGGUCCCCAGUUGUCUUCUCUGUAAAAUGAAGCUGUUAAGAGCUCUGAUCUCAUCACGUUGCCAUGAGAAAGGAAUAGGACAAGGUCCAGGAGGGAGCUUGCAUAUAAUGAGUGCUAGGAAAUGUCAGCUAUCAUUAUCCUUGUUAAUAUGAACCUGUGUUUAGUGGGUUGAUUUUCUGAACUUUGAUAGCAGUUGGGGUUUCACGGAGCAUUUGGGAUGAAUAAACAAGCAUCUCUGGAUCAGAGUGCUCGGGAGACCUUUACCUGUUUUACCUGAUUACAUCCUCUGAGGUAUGUGCCAUUUAUACCUGGGGAAACUGAGGCUCAGAAAAAUGACCUUGUCUGUGGUCACACAGCUGGUAAGGGGUAGGAAUGGAAUUUAAACCCAGUUGUCUAACUUCAGGGCCCACAUUUCAGCCACAACUGAGGUUUUUCCUAACCUAACCCCAUU
rnacentral:lncRNA from 10 species